rnacentral:piRNA from 1 species
UAGUGAUUAAGUGCUAUGAGAAACUAGGA